UGUGUCCAAUGAUGUUUCUAGCAAUUUACCUUACCUACAUUGGUUGAGAGACCGUGAUAUCAAAAAUGCAAAACUGAGGAUGCA
rnacentral:snoRNA from 1 species